GACGAACGCUGGCGGCGUGCUUAACACAUGCAAGUCGAACGGAAAGGCCCUGCUUUUGUGGGGUGCUCGAGUGGCGAACGGGUGAGUAACACGUGAGUAACCUGCCCUUGACUUUGGGAUAACUUCAGGAAACUGGGGCUAAUACCGGAUAGGAGCUCCUGCUGCAUGGUGGGGGUUGGAAAGUUUCGGCGGUUGGGGAUGGACUCGCGGCUUAUCAGCUUGUUGGUGGGGUAGUGGCUUACCAAGGCUUUGACGGGUAGCCGGCCUGAGAGGGUGACCGGCCACAUGGGGACUGAGAUACGGCCCAGACUCCUAAGGGAGGCAGGAGUGGGGAAUAUUGCACAAUGGGAGGAAGCCUGAUGCAGCAACGCCGCGUGCGGGAUGACGGCCUUCGGGUUGGAAACCGCUUUCGCCUGUGACGAAGCGGGAGUGACGGUAAUGGGUAAAGAAGCACCGGCUAACUACGUG
rnacentral:rRNA from 1 species